AGUCCCACAAAUGAUGGAUUGAUCAUUUAUUUUCAGCCGCCAGACUCACAUACAGGGUGGAGAGGUGCAGCAUGGGAGAAGCAGAUUGGCCGUGUGCAAGCCAAUCAGGACGCCCUCACAGAGUGGACAGGGGCUGAAGCUGAUGGGGAUUGGAAAUAACAAGACACUCGCAGACACGCAGCAGAAGCACAGGAGCAUGAAAGGUGAUGCAAGAACAGCAGAUGGUGGAGAGAGAAAUAUUCUGAUAGAACAACGUCAGAACUCGCGAGUGGUUAAUUCAUAGUGCGCCAGCCCACAGCGGGCCGAGGUCAGGACAGAAAAACACUCAGCUGACAUGUUAGUUUAUUCACAGGAGAGGCACAGUUCCCCAUAAAGGCCAACCAAGCUGGUUGGGAAAGCAAACUGCAAAACCUCUAGCAGAAAAUGUCCAAGUGCAUCUGGGGUUCCUGUUUGAA